CCAAUAGCGCACAUUCAACCUUUUUGCAGUUAAAAAGCUCGUAGUUGAAAUGAAGGGUAGUUGUGUAAUGAAUACAUUCGCGUAUUUUGUUAUUCUACUACCCUCCUUCUAAAUUCGAUAUAUGAGUAUUAAUUUACUUGUAUAUGGUUUUAGACUUUUACUGUGAGAAAAUUAGAGUGUUCAAAGCAGGCAUUUGCUUGAAUAUAUUAGCAUGGAAUAAUCAUGUAUGAUUUUCAUGAUGUAUUUGAUUGGUUUGGUUCAUGAGAAUAAGAUUAAAAGGGACAGUUGGGGGUAUUCAUAUUCAAUAGUCAGAGGUGAAAUUCUCGGAUUUAUGGAAGAUGAACAAGUGCGAAAGCAUCUACCAAGGAUGUUUUCAUUAAUCAAGAACGAAAGUUAGGGGAUCGAAGAGGAUUAGAUACCCUCGCAGUCUUAAAUAUA
rnacentral:rRNA from 1 species